GCCGGGAUGGUGAAAUUGGUAGACACGCUAGCUUCAGGUGCUAGUAAUGGCAACAUUGUGGAGGUUCGAGUCCUCUUCCCGGCACCA
rnacentral:tRNA from 1 species